GAUGAACGCUGGCGGCGUGCCUAAUACAUGCAAGUCGAGCGAACAGACGAGGAGCUUGCUCCUCUGACGUUAGCGGCGGACGGGUGAGUAACACGUGGAUAACCUACCUAUAAGACUGGGAUAACUUCGGGAAACCGGAGCUAAUACCGGAUAAUAUAUUGAACCGCAUGGUUCAAUAGUGAAAGACGGUUUUGCUGUCCCUUAUAGAUGGAUCCGCGCCGCAUUAGCUAGUUGGUAAGGUAACGGCUUACCAAGGCAACGAUGCGUAGCCGACCUGAGAGGGUGAUCAGCCACACUGGAACUGAGACACGGUCCAGACUCCUACGGGAGGCAGCAGUAGGGAAUCUUCCGCAAUGGGCGAAAGCCUGACGGAGCAACGCCGCGUGAGUGAUGAAGGUCUUCGGAUCGUAAAACUCUGUUAUUAGGGAAGAACAAAUGUGUAAGUAACUAUGCACGUCUUGACGGUACCUAAUCAGAAAGCCACGGCUAACUACGUG
rnacentral:rRNA from 1 species